GCUCGUGAGAUAGCUCAGUGGGUAGAGUAUAUGACUCCCUAAUCUGAGGGACGUGAGUUCGAGUCCCAUGUUGGGUG